CUCACCUAGGGAUCUUGUUAAAAUUCAGAUUUUGAUUUAGUCAGUCUGUGGUGGGGACUAAGAUUCUACAUUUCUAAUAAUUUCCCAAGUGAUGCUAA
rfam:Myotis davidii contig306549, whole genome shotgun sequence.